GUCUAGAAUUGACAGGCAAUCCUCUCAACUCUUUUCUGUCUCCUUCCUUGUAUCUACAAAUCUGCAGAACUCUACCCAGCUACCAAGCUGACUGGUCAGCAGGCUCUGACAAGUGGUGCCAAGCUGUGAGAUGGGUAUGGAGGACUCUGUGACGGAUCACCACAGAAGGAAAAAAAAAAAGGAGUGCACUUGAAAAUAGUGGAAGCUGUGGAUGAAAAUGAAGUUUUUUGUUUGCCUGAGUGAUUGGUGCAGUGUAUGGAGCAGAGAGAUGCUGAUCCUGAUGUUGCUGAUGACCAUCCAGAGAUUCCAGAGUGAAAGCUAUUGGGCCUAUGUUCCUGAUCCACCAUUUUUACAUCCUGUAACUUGUGAAGGAAAAGAAAUUGUGGUUAAUGAUACCAGGCUUUUAGAUUGACCUGCCACCCAAGAGUUUCAGAUUGCUUGGAAUUUUUCUUAUAUUGUAUGGUAAAGGGAUUUCUGUAUGUUUUGCAAAAAAUAUCACUUUGAAGGGAUGUCUUGGAGUGUUUCCAAAACAAGUAUUGGGAAACAAUGUAUUGCUUCCUCAAGGUAAUUAGAUAGGUAAUAUUUCAGCUCCUCAAUGAUUUCCUUCAUGCACAAAAGAAAUGUGAGAGUCUAACAGAACUUUGCUAUGGAGACCAUGUACUGGCAUUUCUCCUUUAAAGUACAACAUUACAGGGACACAGCAAUAUAUUCUUGAUUGGUCCAAAAAUCAGGAAAUUAUAAUGACUCUUAUCCUGUGUCUUCAGCAGGAAUCUUGGGACCAAGGACUGUGAGGUGGAAUUUGGUGUCCUAUUAUUGGAUCUCCGCAAACUUAUGUUUGUAAACUUACUGCCAUGGAAACAGUGGCAGGACACUCUAGUUACUUGAAGCCUGUUUGUCCUUUGAAAGGAACUGUUUUAGCUUUUGUUAAAAAUACUCUAUGUUCUUUUAGUUGUUGAAUCAAAUAUUUCUAUGAAUGGUUCUUGUUUAACGUACCAUGUCUUAAUUAAUUUUGACUAAUUGUAUUUCUCAAAUGUAUAAUCAUACUCAUGUAAUAGUGUUAAAACAACCUUUUUUUGUAAUGUUGCCAGUAUAUAUGGGUGAUCCAUGUUUUGAUGAUAUAGGGUUACAAGUGAUUGAAGAAAUCAAAAAAGUUUAAGCAAACAGAAGCAUGUUGCUGGAUUAGUUAUAGCAGGAAUUGCAGCCUUUUUUACUAUGCUUGCUACUACUACUAUUGCUUCAGUGGCUUUGUAUCAAUCCAUUUAUACAGCAGGGUUUGUUAAUCAAUUGUCUAUGAAUGUUUCUAUGACAUUAGAGACUCAAGAAGAUAUAGAUGUGAAAAUGGAACAUAAAUUGAAUGCUCUAUAUGAUGUGGUACAAUUUCUGAGAGAUGAACUCCAAAGCCUAAAAACUAGAGUACAUUUGAAAUGUCAUGCUAAUUAUGAAUGGAUUUAUGUCAUAUCUUUUGUGUAUAAUGAAAGUGCUAUUGGAUAGGAAAGAGUUAUAGCACAUCUUAAAGGAAUUCGGCAUGAUUCUAAUGAAUCAUUAGAUUUGGCUAAAUUACAUCAAGAUAUUAUAGAAAUGAAAAAGGCUAAAUUGGAUUUUGAUGCAGUUAAAAAAGCUGAAGAUAUUUUAGAACAAUUCAAAAAGGCUAUUCCAUCAUGGUCAUCAUUUACUUUGCUCUUAAGUAGUAUUGUAGUUAUUGGAGCAUAACUACAUGUGUUAUGUAAACAUAUAAAGCAUGUGUCUUAUUAGGCAUAAUCUACUUGCCUGUAAUUUUCAAGCUGGUUAAUGAACUCAUUAUGGAGAUUGGUCUCUGAACUCCAUGAAGUAAAACUGCACAUUCCCCUGGCUACCAGAGGCUGGUAGCCAAAGACAGGUGAGUUUCUUUCCCUCCUUUCAACCUAAGACAGGACAUGAAUGAUGGAAUUCAUGCUCCCAUGACAGGUAAGAUUGGGGUGUGGUAAGGAACAACCGUAGACAGGCACAAUAAUCUGAGAGACUCAGUAGAGUCUUAAAUAAAUAAAAAGGGAAGAAUUGUGGGAGCCCACAACUGACCCAGUUUCCCAGUUUGAGUCUGAAGUCUAUUCUGGGUCAAUAGAGUUUAAGCUUGCUUGCUCCAGGAGUGUGAGAAAGUCCUGAUUAAUCCACAGAGUCUCCUUGAAGGGCUGUGAGAAAGUCCUGAUUAGCCCACAGGAAGGAACAUACCAUCUAGCAAGAUGCAGGCUGUUGAUGCCAGCCAGAAGUCAUUGAGAUAGAAAAUGAAACCGCCUGCUCCUUGAUGCAAGGAUAGGAUAGAUCGUGGCUGAAUGCCAGUACUGUGCAUUGUUCUACAUCUGUCCUUUAAGACUGUAUAUAAGCUGGUUGUGAAAUAAAAUUAGGGCUGUCUGGCACUGACUGACAGUCCUCUGGACUCUG